rnacentral:tRNA from 1 species
AAAUAAGAAACAAAAUUUGUAAUUAGUUUCGACCUAAUCUUUGAUGAUUAUCAUCCUUAUUUA